AAAGACAGAAAACCUAAGGUGAUGCGAUUUCGACCCGCAUAGUAGAACUAUAUUAGUUCUCUGUCAUUA
rnacentral:tRNA from 1 species